GCGCGUAGAGUGCCACCUUCACACGGUGGAAGUCGUAGGUUCGAAUCCUGCUGCGCCCA
rnacentral:tRNA from 1 species